UGGGGGAUAUUGCACAAUGGGGGGAACCCUGAUGCAGCGACGCCGCGUGGACGAUGAAGUAUUUCGGUAUGUAAAGUCCUGUCAGCAGGGAAGAAAGCAUGUUGGAAGACACAUGCAUGACGGUACCUGACCAAGAAGCACCGGCUAAAUACGUGCCAGCAGCCGCGGUAAUACGUAUGGUGCAAGCGUUAUCCGGAUUUACUGGGUGUAAAGGGAGCGCAGGCGGCGCGCCAAGUCUGAUGUGAAAGCCCGGGGCCCAACCCCGGCACUGCAUUGGAAACUGGCGUGCUUGAGUGUCGGAGGGGUAAGUGGAAUUCCUAGUGUAGCGGUGAAAUGCGUAGAUAUUAGGAGGAACACCAGUGGCGAAGGCGGCUUACUGGACGACUACUGACGCUGAGGCUCGAAAGCGUGGGGAGCAAACAGG
rnacentral:rRNA from 1 species